AUACCGCGUAUUAAUGCUCAAAUUUCAUACACCAAACACUUACCUGAAUGAAAAUGUACGGCUCGUUUCACAGCAGGUUUACGAAAAUAAACCAUCCUGUAUGUCAUAAACAAAUAGAAUAAUCUUGGAAGUCAGGCAGUGAAAAGAUACUGUUAUAUCUGUUCAGGUAUUUUUCUUCUUAAAACAUAUAUGCUUCCGAUUUAACACGGUGAUCUUAUUAGAGGAUUUGAGUGGACUACUGUGCAUCAUAAUAGCCGGUUUGAUGCAACAUCACAUCAUGCAGACCUCAACGCGGAUAUACGCUUUGGCUUUCUUGCUCAUCGGCGCUCUACUGUUGGCAAACUUUGGACCGGCGUCUGGGGCUCUAUGCAUGCGAGGCAAAGGCGGACGGUGCGUGGAGACGACCCAGGGUCGUCACUGUGAAACCAGGCGACACGGGAAGUGUGAGGCAAUAGGAAGAACAUGCCGAUGUCGUAGCCUUGCAUUAUAUAUGGCAAGGGAAACAUUGCAGCCAGUGGAUACGCAUUACUUGAUAUUAGCUGAAAAUUAAAACACUGUCAUGAUUUAUUAAAGCAAAGUCGCGGGAUUUUUGGUUAAAGUAAAUAACGCCUAUGUGGAGGGUCGUGUGUUAUAGUGGCGUUCUUAAAUAAUUAUAAAUAUUAGUAGCUGAUUGAUUACUUAUGUAAAAAAUCUUCAUAAUUAAUGUGCAUGUCUCAGACAUUUAUGUUAAAAAAGGAAAUAAUACACUUUCAUUGUUAAAAGCUUGGACUUCUUCGGGCAUAUUUUAUAUGCGUAUGCAUUUGUAUUUUUCACAUGCCAUACCCUGUUUUCAAUUUAAUAUAACCAUUACGAAUAUUUUUAUCUUACACAUGUGUAAUAUAAUUUUUAAGCGUU